GGGUGUAGCUCAGUGGUAGAGUAUGUGUUUAGCAUGCAUGAGGUCCUGGGUUCAAUCCCCAGUACCUCCA
rnacentral:tRNA from 1 species